UACGUAGGGGGCAAGCGUUGUCCGGAUUUAUUGGGCGUAAAGAGCGUGUAGGCGGUCAGGUAGGUCCGUUGUGAAAACUCGAGGCUCAACCUCGAGACGCCGAUGGAAACCAUCUGACUAGAGUCCGGAAGAGGAGAGUGGAAUUCCUGGUGGUAGCGGUGAAAUGCGUAGAGUAUCGAGAGGAACACCUGCGGCGAAGGCGGGUUGCGUGGGCUGAUACUG
rnacentral:rRNA from 1 species